rnacentral:lncRNA from 1 species
UCGUCUGGGCUCCGGCGGCAAACGUCCGCCUUCGGAGCCACCGAUAACGCCGCGCCCAUUGCCUGCGUCCACGUGACCAGAGACUAUCCUUGUAGCUUUCCGAUUCUCUGAGGUGAUUAGGGCCUCGGAAACGGUAGCUUCGUCGGACUACAGUACUCGGAGUCAGGCAGCCGCCGUUAGGGGUAGGGUUUCCAAGAGCAGCAGUCUCUGCAUAGCCUGCGGAUUGUUCGUGCGAUAGUGGGGGUGUUGAUCGGAUGGGGAUGGUUGGAUAUUGUGGUCGUUUAGUUGGUUGCCUCCUUCUGAUGAUUAUUCGCUGUCAUUGAUUGCAAUGGAGGAUUGAUACAUGGAUAAGUAAAUCAAGAACUUAUCUCGGUCGUUCUGAUGGAUUAGGAAUCAAAUUAGAGGUACUUGCUCCAAGAAUGACUGGAUCUUGCAGUGCAGAAGUGCAGGUUCGCUGUAACUUUGUUUUGUUUGUUUUCAUGCUUCCUGGGAUUAAAGUUUCUAGCUAUAAUUUCUUGGAUUUCUGCAUGAAUUAUUAACCUUUUGUUGUCAUGAUUGCCACAAGAAUUGCAAUUUUCAGGGAACUUGAUAAUGCCUGGCAGGGGAAGAAAUUUGCCGAAAUGGGGGAAAUUAGAUUGUCAGUGGACUCAGACUCAUUGCAUAUGUUUGCUGAAUCACCUUCUUACAGAUUGAGUUAUCGAGACCCAUGACAAUUUGCUGGUUUAUUCAGAGUCAAAUAUAUCAAGAUUGUUAUUAUUUCCUUGCUUUAUCAGGAGGGAGUACUGUUCUUAACAGUUUGCAUUUGUUUCUCUUGAUCAUCUUUAUAGGUAGCUGCAAACCAAUGAUUCGAACUAAACAUAUCUGGA